UACGGGGGGGGCAAGCGUUGUUCGGAAUUACUGGGCGUAAAGGGCUCGUAGGCGGCCAACUAAGUCAGACGUGAAAUCCCUCGGCUUAACCGGGGAACUGCGUCUGAUACUGGAUGGCUUGAGUGUAGGAGAGGGAUGCGGAAUUCCAGGUGUAGCGGUGAAAUGCGUAGAUAUCUGGAGGAAUACCGGUGGCGAAGGCGGCAUCCUGGACCGAAACUGACGCUGAGGCGCGAAAGCUAGGGGAGCAAACGGG
rnacentral:rRNA from 1 species